UACGGGGGGGGCGAGCGUUGUUCGGAAUUACUGGGCGUAAAGGGUUUGUAGGUGGCCUGCUAAGUCAGACGUGAAAUCCCUGGGCUCAACCCAGGAACUGCAUUUGAAACUCCCUUUCUUGAGUGUCGGAGAGGAAAGCGGAAUUCCUGGUGUAGGAGGUGAAAUUCGAUAGAUAUCAGGAGGAACACCGGUGGCGAAAGGCGGCU
rnacentral:rRNA from 1 species